rnacentral:rRNA from 1 species
UACAUGGGGUGCAAACGUUGCUCGGAAUUAUUGGGCGUAAAGCGCACGUAGGCGGUUCGUUAAGUCGGAUGUGAAAGCCCUCGGCUCAACUGAGGAAGUGCACCCGAAACUGGCGAGCUUGAGUACGAAAGAGGAUCGCGGAAUUCCCGGUGUAAAGGUGAAAUUCGUAGAUAUCGGGAGGAACACCGGUGGCGAAGGCGGGUCUCUGGGCCGAUACUGACGCUGAGGAGCGAAAGCGUGGGGAGCGAACAGG